rnacentral:rRNA from 1 species
UACGUAGGGGGCAAGCGUUGUCCGGAAUUAUUGGGCGUAAAGCGCGCGCAGGCGGUCCUUUAAGUCUGACUGUGAAAGCCCACGGCUCAACCGUGGAGGGUCAUUGGAAACUGGGGGAGCUUGAGUGGCAGGAGGAGAAGAGUGGAAUUCCACGUGUAGCGGUGAAAUGCGUAGGAAGAUGUGGAGGAACACCAGUGGCGAAGGCGACGUCUUUGGCCUGUAACUG